AUGGCACCAAAAGCUAAGAAGGAAGCUCCUGCCCCUCCUAAAGCCAAAGCAAGGCUCUGAAGGCCAAGAAGGCAGUGUUGAAAGGUGUCCACAGCCACAAAAAAAAGAAGAUCCGCGUAUCACUAGCCUUCUGGCGGCCCAAGACAUUGCGACUCCGGAGGCAGUGCAAAUAUCUUAAGAGCACCCCCAGGAGAAACAAGCUUGACCACUAUGCAUCAUCAAGUUUCCUCUGACCACUGAGUCUCCAUGAAGAAGACAGAAGACACACGCACUUGUGUUCACUGUGAAUGUUAAGCCACAGCACCAGAGAAGCUCUAUGACACUGAUGUGGCCAAGGUCAACACCCUGAUUCGGCCUGAUGGAGAGAAGGAACAUGUUCGACUGGCUCCUGAUUACAAUGCUUUGGAUGUUGCCAACAAAAUAGGGAUCAUCUCA
rnacentral:lncRNA from 1 species